UACAGAGGGUGCAAGCGUUAAUCGGAAUUACUGGGCGUAAAGCGCACGUAGGCGGUUUUUUAAGUCAGAUGUGAAAGCCCCGGGCUCAACCUGGGAAUUGCAUCUGAAACUGGGAAACUAGAGUGUGUGAGAGGGGGGUAGAAUUCCAAGUGUAGCGGUGAAAUGCGUAGAGAUUUGGAGGAAUACCAGUGGCGAAGGCGGCCCCCUGGCACAACACUGACGCUCAGGUGCGAAAGCGUGGGGAGCAAACAGG
rnacentral:rRNA from 1 species